CCUACGGGAGGCAGCAGUAAGGAAUAUUGGACAAUGCUCGCAAGAGUGAUCCAGCCAUGCCGCGUGCAGGAAGAAUGCCCUAUGGGUAGUAAACUGCUUUUGAACUAGAGAAAAUCCCAGUACGUGUACUGGGCUGAUAGUAUAGUUAGAAUAAGCAUCGGCUAACUUCGUGCCAGCAGCCGCGGUAAGACGAAGGAUGCAAGCGUUAUCCGGAUUCAUUGGGUUUAAAGGGAGCGUAGGUGGACUGAUAAGUCAGUGGUGAAAUCUCCGAGCUUAACUCGGAAAUUGCCAUUGAUACUGUUGGUCUUGAGUACAGUUGCUGUGGGCGGAAUAUGACAUGUAGUGGUGAAAUACAUAGAGAUGUCAUAGAACACCGAUUGCGAAGGCAGCUCACAAAGCUGUAACUGACACUGAGGCUCGAAAGUGCGGGGAUCAAACAGGAUUAGAUACCCUGGUAGUCCGCACCGUAAACGAUGAUUACUCGCUGCUAGGGGGCAACCUUUAGUGGCUUAGCGAAAGCGANAAGUAAUCCACCUGGGAGUACGCCGGCAACGGUGAAACGUCAAAUGAAUUGACGG
rnacentral:rRNA from 1 species